ensembl:snRNA U4 U4 spliceosomal RNA
AUCUUUGCGCAGUGGCAGUAUUGUAGUCUAUGAGGUUUAUCCAAGACAUGAUUAUUGCUAGUUGAAAACUUUACCCAAUACCCUGCCUUGCUGACUUGAAACAGAGUUGGCAAUGGCAAUUUUGAUAGUCUCUCAGGAGA